rnacentral:rRNA from 1 species
UACAGAGGUCUCGAGCGUUGUUCGGAUUCAUUGGGCGUAAAGGGUGCGUAGGCGGCGCGGUAAGUCGGGUGUGAAAUUUCGAGGCUUAACUUCGAAACUGCAUUCGAUACUGCCGUGCUAGAGGACUGGAGAGGAGACUGGAAUUUACGGUGUAGCGGUGAAAUGCGUAGAUAUCGUAAGGAAGACCAGUGGCGAAGGCGGGUCUCUGGACAGUUCCUGACGCUGAGGCACGAAGGCCAGGGGAGCAAACGGG